GAUGAACGCUGGCGGCGUGCCUAAUACAUGCAAGUCGAGCGAACAGACGAGGAGCUUGCUCCUCUGACGUUAGCGGCGGACGGGUGAGUAACACGUGGAUAACCUACCUAUAAGACUGGGAUAACUUCGGGAAACCGGAGCUAAUACCGGAUAAUAUAUUGAACCGCAUGGUUCAAUAGUGAAAGACGGUUUUGCUGUCACUUAUAGAUGGAUCCGCGCCGCAUUAGCUAGUUGGUAAGGUAACGGCUUACCAAGGCAACGAUGCGUAGCCGACCUGAGAGGGUGCAGGCCAACUGUGAAACAGACACCGGGACGGGCCCCACAGGGAGGGCACAAUGGGGAAUUCUUCCGCAAGGGGCAAAACCCGGAAGGCGAAACGCGGGGGGAGAGAGAAGGGUCUAGGAAUCUAAAACCUUUUUUAUGGGGAAAAAAAAAAUUGGAAGGAAACUAUCCGGUUCUGCAGGGUCCUAAAAAAAAAAGCAGCGCAAAACUACGC
rnacentral:rRNA from 1 species